rnacentral:rRNA from 1 species
CGCAGCUACCAUGCAGUCGAGCGGAACGAGUUAUCUGAGCCUUCGGGGGACGAUAACGGCGUCGUAGCGGCGGACGGGUGAGUAAUGCCUAGGAAAUUGCCCUGAUGUGGGGGAUAACCAUUGGAAACGAUGGCUAAUACCGCAUGAUGCCUACGGGCCAAAGAGGGGGACCUUCGGGCCUCUCGCGUCAGGAUAUGCCUAGGUGGGAUUAGCUAGUUGGUGAGGUAAGGGCUCACCAAGGCGACGAUCCCUAGCUGGUCUGAGAGGAUGAUCAGCCACACUGGAACUGAGACACGGUCCAGACUCCUACGGGAGGCAGCAGUGGGGAAUAUUGCACAAUGGGCGCAAGCCUGAUGCAGCCAUGCCGCGUGUGUGAAGAAGGCCUUCGGGUUGUAAAGCACUUUCAGUCGUGAGGAAGGUAGUGUAGUUAAUAGCUGCAUUAUUUGACGUUAGCGACAGAAGAAGCACCAGCUAACUCCGUGCCAGCAGCCGCGGUAAUACGGAGGGUGCGAGCGUUAAUCGGAAUUACUGGGCGUAAAGCGCAUGCAGGUGGUUUGUUAAGUCAGAUGUGAAAGCCCGGGGCUCAACCUCGGAAUAGCAUUUGAAACUGGCAGACUAGAGUACUGUAGAGGGGGGGUAGAAUUUCAGGUGUAGCGGUGAAAUGCGUA